ensembl:snoRNA SNORA70 Small nucleolar RNA SNORA70
CUGUAGACAAUUGAGCAGACCCAGUUCCUUUCCUGGUGGGGACAUGGAGUUGCAGGGGUUGCAAACAGCCACCUCCUUGGGAGUGUAGGCCACUUGCUACUUAUAUGGGUUGUCCUGAGGGACUUUCAAGGCAGUU